UACAGAGGGUGCGAGCGUUGUCCGGAAUUAUUGGGCGUAAAGGGCUCGUAGGCGGUUUGUCGCGUCGGGAGUGAAAACACACAGCUUAACUGUGUGCUUGCUUCCGAUACGGGCAGACUAGAGGUAUGCAGGGGAGAACGGAAUUCCUGGUGUAGCGGUGAAAUGCGCAGAUAUCAGGAGGAACACCGGUGGCGAAGGCGGGUAGCUGGGCCGACACUGACGCUGAUGCGCGAAAGCCAGGGGAGCGAACGGG
rnacentral:rRNA from 1 species